AGAGUUUGAUCAUGGCUCAGAGCGAACGCUGGCGGAAUGCUUAACACAUGCAAGUCGCACGGGGGCUUCGGCUCUAGUGGCGGACGGGUGAGUACGCGUAGGAACGUGUCUUGGGGUGGGGGAUAACGCUGGGAAACUGGCGCUAAUACCGCAUGUCUGCUGCGGCAGAAAGCCUUCGGGUGCCUUGAGAGCGGCCUGCGUCCGGUUAGCUAGUUGGUGGGGUAAAGGCUUACCAAGGCUUCGAUCGGUAGCUGGUCUGAGAGGACGAUCAGCCACACUGGGACUGAGACACGGCCCAGACUCCUACGGGAGGCAGCAGUGGGGAAUAUUGGACAAUGGGCGGAAGCCUGAUCCAGCAAUUCCGCGUGGGUGAAGAAGGUCUUCGGAUUGUAAAGCCCUUUCGACAGGGACGAUGAUGACGGUACCUGUAGAAGAAGCCCCGGCUAACUUCGUGCCAGCAGCCGCGGUAAUACGAAGGGGGCUAGCGUUGCUCGGAAUUACUGGGCGUAAAGGGCGCGUAGGCGGCUGUGUUAGUCAGGCGUGAAAUUCCUGGGCUCAACCUGGGGACUGCGCUUGAUACGGCAUGGCUUGAGGAUGGAAGAGGCUCGCGGAAUUCCCAGUGUAGAGGUGAAAUUCGUAGAUAUUGGGAAGAACACCGGUGGCGAAGGCGGCGAGCUGGUCCAUUACUGACGCUGAGGCGCGACAGCGUGGGGAGCAAACAGGAUUAGAUACCCUAGUAGUCC
rnacentral:rRNA from 1 species